GCUUUCAACAUCCCCGUCCGGCGCUCCACUUGGAGCUGGCUGGACUGAAGGC
rnacentral:sRNA from 12 species